CCCUUAGAUGUCCGGGGCCGCACGCGCGCUACACUGAAGGAAUCAGCGUGGCUUUCUCCCUGACCCGAAAGGGUUGGGAAACCCGUUGAAUCUCCUUCGUGAUAGGGAUUGGGGCUUGAAAUUGUUCCCCAUGAACGAGGAAUUCCCAGUAAGCGCGAGUCAUAAGCUCGCGUUGAUUACGUCCCUGCCCUUUGUACACACCGCCCGUCGCUACUACCGAUUGAACGGUUUAGUGAGGACCUCGGAUUGGUCUCGGCCCGCUCUUUACCGGGCGGCGCCGUUGGUCGAGAAGACGCUCGAACUUGAUCGUUUAGAGGAAGUAAAAGUCGUAACA
rnacentral:rRNA from 1 species